UACGAAGGGGGCUAGCGUUGUUCGGAAUUACUGGGCGUAAAGCGCACGUAGGCGGACUGUUUAGUCAGAGGUGAAAGCCCGGAGCUCAACUCCGGAAUUGCCUUUGAUACUGGCAGUCUCGAGGCCGAGAGAGGUGAGUGGAACUCCGAGUGUAGAGGUGAAAUUCGUAGAUAUUCGGAAGAACACCAGUGGCGAAGGCGGCUCACUGGCUCGGUACUGACGCUGAGGUGCGAAAGCGUGGGGAGCAAACAGG
rnacentral:misc_RNA from 1 species